rnacentral:rRNA from 1 species
AAAUUGAAGAGUUUGAUCAUGGCUCAGAUUGAACGCUGGCGGCAGGCCUAACACAUGCAAGUCGAACGGUAACAGGAAGCAGCUUGCUGCUUCGCUGACGAGUGGCGGACGGGUGAGUAAUGUCUGGGAAACUGCCUGAUGGAGGGGGAUAACUACUGGAAACGGUAGCUAAUACCGCAUAAUGUCGCAAGACCAAAGAGGGGGACCUUCGGGCCUCUUGCCAUCGGAUGUGCCCAGAUGGGAUUAGCUUGUU